rnacentral:rRNA from 1 species
UACGUAGGGGGCUAGCGUUGUCCGGAAUCAUUGGGCAUAAAGCGCGUGUAGGCGGUCCGGUAAGUCCGCUGUGAAAGUCGAGGGCUCAACCCUCGAAUGCCGGUGGAUACUGUCGGGCUAGAGUGCGGAAGAGGCGAGUGGAAUUCCUGGUGUAGCGGUGAAAUGCGCAGAUAUCAGGAGGAACACCUAUUGCGAAGGCAGCUCGCUGGGACGUUACUGACGCUGAGACGCGAAAGCGUGGGGAGCAAACAGG